rnacentral:rRNA from 1 species
UACGUAGGGCGCAAGCGUUAUCCGGAUUCACUGGGUUUAAAGGGUGCGUAGGUGGGAAUGUAAGUCAGUGGUGAAAUCUCCGUGCUUAACAUGGAACUGCCAUUGAUACUAUGUUUCUUGAAUUUUCUGGAGGUAAGCGGAAUAUGUCAUGUAGCGGUGAAAUGCUUAGAUAUGACAUAGAACACCAAUUGCGAAGGCAUGCUC